GUGUUUGCUUCAAUAGCACAUAUACUAAAACUGGAACAAUACAGAAAUUAGCAUGGCCCCUACAUAAGGAUGAUAUGAAAAUUUGUGAAACGGUCCAUAUUUAA
rnacentral:snRNA from 1 species